UGAACUUCAACCGUACACUACCAUACCAUUCGAUGGAAACACGUAAAAUUUGCUCCUCUCAUUUGGCCGUACAAAUUGAUAAGUAUUUAAACAAUUAAACAAACACCACAUGCAAUUCUCAAACCACACACGUAUUGUACUUUUAGGUAAACCACAUCGAGCUUGCAUUCACAUCCUUAGGGAACACGCGCAUGAUACAAGUGUGCAUCGGAUCGGCCAGAAAACAUAACGAGAGGCUUGGCUCCUUCCUUCCUUCAUUCUCCAAAUUGCUAGCGGAGUAACAUCAUACAUUGGAGCAUGUCAGCAUAUUGCAGUAUGCCUGCCAAGCAUCCCGGAGUUUCCAUGCGUAGCCGGACCGAUUAAGCUAGGAAGUUGCAUCGAUGAUGGAUGGUGCCGGCUUUUUAACGGUGGGUGUUGGUCGAUAUAUUUUACAUGUAUUGAGGAGCAUAGGAUUGUACUGUGCGGUUGUUGCUGGAUCCGGUAAAUGUAUACCUUUGGCUGGAGCUGCUUUAAAACUGUUUGGUGGUAACAAUCGUGAAGGUAUUGCACUGGUUGUUGCUGAAACAUAAAUGGUAUACCUUUGGCUGGAGCUGCUUUAAAACUGUUUGGUGGUAACAAUCGUGAAGGUAUUGCACUGGUUGUUGCUGAAACAUAAAUGGUAUACCUUUGGCUGGAGCUGCGUUAAAACUGUUUGGUGUUAACAAUCGUGAAGGUAUUGCACUGGUUGUUGCUGAAACAUAAAUGGCAAGAGUAUACCUUUAGUCGGUGCUGCAGUAACAUUGAUUCUGGGUGAUGUUUUGCUGGUUGGAGUAAUCGAAGCUGCCUGUAUCACAACUUUGUUGGGCCUGAUGGUAAGCUGCGGCAAUCUGGACCUUAAAGCUGACAACGUGCAACUUUUUAACGAUCGAUUCGUGUUUGCCGCUUCUCGAAACAUGUUUUCUACGAAAGAUGAGGAACACUGGCGCACACACACUGGCAGAGGAACAAUGGGACACUAAUUUUAAAUAAUAAAUCCAAAUUCACCGACGUAAUAUCACAA